rnacentral:rRNA from 1 species
GACGAACGCUGGCGGCGUGCCUAACACAUGCAAGUCGAACGGACAUUUUUUGGAAAGUUCUUCGGAACUGGAAUCUAAAUGUUAGUGGCGGACGGGUGAGUAACGCGUGGGUAACCUGCCUCAUACAGGGGGAUAACAGUUAGAAAUGACUGCUAAUACCGCAUAAGACCACAGGAUCGCAUGAUCCGGUGGUAAAAACUCCGGUGGUAUGAGAUGGACCCGCGUCUGAUUAGCUAGUUGGUGGGGUAACGGCUCACCAAGGCGACGAUCAGUAGCCGACCUGAGAGGGUGACCGGCCACAUUGGGACUGAGACACGGCCCAA